AUCCUCAAAACCAACAUAACAAACUUAAUUAGAAUCUCCACCUAUCAUAUAUUUAGUUUUUAAUCCAUUAAAUGGUUACAGAUAGGCAGGGAAUUGGUUGAACAAGCAAUGAUAGAACAUGGUCCUUGGUCUCGUGGUUCCCAAUCCCAUGCCCAUCUCCAUACUGGUACAUGCAUUGUGCCAUUCUAGCUAGGUUAAUUACUACGCCAAUAAAAGUUUCCGAGAAUGGAGAAUCUGCAACCCGUUCUUUAUUCAUUUUGUUCCAUGUUUCGCUAAUUAGAAAUCGAAUGUGAUCACGAGCUUUUGCUUCUGAAGCUCCCGUUUCAUGCAUGUAACAUUGAAUUGAUUUCGGAACAUCGCCUCUCUUUAAUUCAUCUGAUGAUGUUCCAAGGUCAUCUGCAAGUCUAACAAUCAUUGAUGAACAUCGAAUUACAUUGGAAUACUC
rnacentral:misc_RNA from 1 species